AGCACGAAGCAGUGUUCAAAAUGGACGGGUACCUCUUUAGAUGUGGACGACUUCAGGCUACAGAGGAUGAAAAUGUAAUUUGGAUGGUGGUGCACUUUGUAAAACACAACAAAAUGGCCACCCCAUGUGGUUGAAACCAACGGCUGACACAGAAUGAAGAACCAAAACUCCAUGAGUAGUCGUGUUUCUGCCAGAUGUUACCCUGUGGAUCAACAGCCAUGUGGUUUAUGCCAAAGAGACAGUCUGGCAUCCGGCAUGGCAGAAAGAGAGGCUGUCCACUUGGUUUUGAGGUUUGUAAUAUGCUAGUUGAAUUAAAUUACUGUAAAUGCUAAUAUUGUUGUUAAUAAACACUGUAAUGUUGUGUAUUGGAUUCACUAAUGUCGAAAUGUUGCAACCGAAUAAGAAUGUUCAUUUCAAAUGAAUCAGAGCUUUAACUUUAGAUCACUUGUGCUUUUUCCACUUUUCUGAUAUACAAAUGUAGUUAGAAUGUUGUCGUCUUGUGUUAAAUGAUGCCAAUGUUUUAGAUAAUGAGGUUUGCGUAUUUGGAAGUGAUCAUUAAAAGAACGGCAUUUCACACUGGAAUGUUUUGUGAACAUGGGCCAGUAUGCAGCUGGACUAGCCAACAAUCUUCCCAACGUGAUUUGGCCAUGUGGAAGAGUCAGAAGAGUAAGCAGUAAGAAAGUUAUCAGUGUCCUGUUUGUUUCGUGUAAGUCAUGGAGCAAAAACGCUUGCCUACAGGGAGCGCGGUUGCUAAUAGCCGUUCCCACCACAAUUAGUGGCCACAUUAGACGUUACCGAUACUGUAGAAAACGCUAAAAUCCUAAAGCUACUUACCAUUGAGAGACGUCUUGAAGUAACCUCUUUUCUUGAGAAACGAAAGUGAGUCUUUACUUCCAGAUCGGACUCAAACACAUAUGGUUGUAUGGCAAAAGCCGACAUUUUAAAAAGGUGCAUUGCCGUUUAUCAACUCCUGUACCGGAGUGGCCGUGCAUGUUGGCGGGCCAUGGGUGGAAUAAAUUAAAACAGACUGUUGUGGGAACCACAAAAUCCAAAGAAAUACAGCUGAAUAGGUGCAGAUUCCGGAAGAACUGUGCUGGUCAUCGUAUGUAGCUGCUCAAUAAGGCUGACAAAAAUUGCAUAAUAAAAACACAAACUAUAUAAAUCGUACUUUUUGGGUCUGACUGAGGAUUUGGACUCUGCCCCAGUAUGUCUAUGUAGCAGCACCCAGGUAGAACCUGUUUGAGGCUGUGUGUUAAGAGUAGCAAGGAGAAGGAGUAAUGUCAGCCAUGUAUUUUUUUUUGUUGAAGCUUCAAAGACGUUGCAGCUGAGUGCGAAAGUUGUUAUGCAAACCUUUCCUGUGGGGGCACAGAACCGAGGAAGUUUAAUAUGACAAAACCAUUGCACAAGCAGCAUCACAUUGGAAACUGGCACAGGACGACAAGAAGUCAUUAGCUAUAGCAGCAAAGGUAACCAUUGUCUGUCUGUGAGUAAAGUCGAGUUUAAAUGCUCAACACCAUGCUGAGCACCUCCUAACCUUUUCAUAACCAUUAUGUUAUUGGUUAUGUUAUGUUUAGCUGCCACUGCAUUGUUGAUGCAGUAUAUUAGUCAUUUUAUCCUCAUACCUUCAGUUGAUGGUUUACAAGCCCUUUGUAGCACGCCACACUAAAAUAAGGUAAAGAGUGAUUUGCGCUGAUAAGAUUGAUAUUGAUUGGUAAUUCUGAUAUUCAAGGCUGCAAUACCUCUUUUGGCGAGGAAGUGAAACAUUUGUAUCAGGACAGCCCUUAUGUGAAUCAUCAGCCCCAGGCUGGCAGAAGAACGGUUUACUGUAUAUAAAAAUAUAUAUCUGGA